AGUGAACGCUGGCGGCGUGCCUAAUACAUGCAAGUCGAACGGAGUGGCGGACGGGUGAGUAAUGUAUAGCUAAUCUGCCCUACACUAGAGGACAACAGUUGGAAACGGCUGCUAAUACUCUCUAGUGUAGGUGGGGGCUAUAUUGUAUCAGUUAGUUGGUGAGGUAAUGGCUCACCAAGGUGAUGACGCAUAACUGGUCUGAGAGGAUGAGCAGUAAAACUCGAACUGAGACACGGUCCAGACUCCUACGGGAGGCAGCAGUAGGGAAUAGUGCUCAAUGGGGGAAACCCUGAAGCAGCAACGCGGCGUGGAGGAUGACACUUUUCGGAGAGUAAACUCCUUUUGUUAGGGAUGCGGUACCUAACGAAGAAGCACCGGCUAACUCCGUGCCAGCAGCCGCGGUAAUUC
rnacentral:rRNA from 1 species